GAUGAAGAACGUAGUGAAAUGUGAUAAGUAAUGUGAAUUGCAGAAUUCAGUGAAUCAUCGAAUCUUUGAACGCACAUUGCGCCCGUCAGUAUUCUGGCGGGCAUGCCUGUUCGAGCGUCAUUACGCCCCUCAAGUCCCCUGUGGACUUGGUGUUGGGGAUCGGCGAGGCUGGUUUUCCAGCACAGCCGUCCCUUAAAUUAAUUGGCGGUCUCGCCGUGGCCCUCCUCUGCGCAGUAGUAAAACACUCGCAACAGGAGCCCGGCGCGGUCCACUGCCGUAAAACCCCCCAACUUUUUAUAGUUGACCUCGAAUCAGGUAGGACUACCCGCUGAACUUAAGCAUAUCAAUAAGCGGAGGA
rnacentral:misc_RNA from 1 species